UACGUAGGGUGCAAGCGUUAAUCGGAAUUACUGGGCGUAAAGGGCGCGUAGGCGGCUCUGUAAGUCAGGCGUGAAAUUCCUGGGCUCAACCUGGGGGCUGCGCUUGAGACUGUGGGGCUAGAGGAUGGAAGAGGGUCGUGGAAUUCCCAGUGUAGAGGUGAAAUUCGUAGAUAUUGGGAAGAACACCGGUGGCGAAGGCGGCGACCUGGUCCAUUACUGACGCUGAGGCGCGACAGCGUGGGGAGCAAACAGG
rnacentral:rRNA from 1 species